rnacentral:misc_RNA from 1 species
GAUGAAGAACGUAGCGAAAUGCGAUACUUGGUGUGAAUUGCAGAAUCCCGUGAACCAUCGAGUCUUUGAACGCAAGUUGCGCCCGAAGCCAUUAGGCCGAGGGCACGCCUGCCUGGGCGUCACACGUCGUUGCCCCCCCAUCUACUCCUUCGGGAUUGCGGGGGGCGGAUGAUGGCCUCCCGUGCGCCUCGCCGCGCGGUUGGCAUAAAUGCCAAGUCCUCGGCGACGCACGCCACGACAAUCGGUGGUUGCGAAACCUCGGUUGCCCGUCGUGUGCGGUCGUCGCGCAUCGAGGGCUCGAAAAACUUGCCGGGUUCCGGCUCGGCUUUCAACGCGACCCCAGGUCAGGCGGGGUUACCCGCUGAAUUUAAGCAUAUCAAUAAGCGGAGGA